GGGGAUGUACCGGUUUCGACGGGGGUGUGGAGGCAGGAAUAGCGGGCGGCGGCGCCUGACCGCCAUAAAACGGGCACCUUAUAAAUUAAAGAACAACAACGAAACUGUUCUUCUCGCUGCUUAAUUAGCGAGCGUUCCCGCCGGGAGGACCACGGCCCGGCAGCGGAGCGUCGAUGAGUGGUGAACGUGCGCACGCUAAGCUUUGCGCGUGCCAUGCAUGAUGAAGCUACCGGACGGACAGGCUUGCCGGUUUGCCUGUCCUGAAGGGAAAGGGGACGCACAGCGUCCCGCAAAAACCCGCUGCGCCCGGAGAAGUUCCUGUCAAAGCGCUUUCGGACGAGGGUUCAACUCCCUCCAUCUCCACCA
rfam:Firmicutes bacterium CAG:103 genomic scaffold, scf231